CAUUUUGUAGCUGAGUGGUUAAAGUGUUGUGCUACUGCUCAGAAGGUUGUGAGUUCAAACCCCAGCACCACCG